rnacentral:rRNA from 1 species
ACCAGAGGAUGUAACCCUAGGUAAUCCACCUGAAGCUAAGCAGGUUUGUGCCUGGCCAGUACUUGGAUGGGAGACCACCCAGGAAAGCUGGGUUUCUGCUGGAA